rnacentral:tRNA from 1 species
AUUUCUGGAGAAUGAUCAGCUAUUCAUUGGCCUUAGGAGCCAAGCAUCCUAGUGCAAACCCAGGCAGAAGUU